rnacentral:rRNA from 1 species
CCUACGGGUGGCAGCAGUGAGGAAUAUUGGUCAAUGGACGAGAGUCUGAACCAGCCAAGUAGCGUGAAGGAUGACGGCCCUAUGGGUUGUAAACUUCUUUUAUAUGGGAAUAAAUGAGGGCAUGCAUACUCUCUUGUAUGUACCAUAUGAAAAAGGCUCGGCUAAACCCGUGCCAGCAGCCGCGGUAAAACGGAGGGUCCGAGCUGUUUCCGGAUUUAAUGGGGUUAAAGGGAGGGUAGGUGGAUAGUUAAGGCCGUUGUGAAAGUUUGGGGGUCAACCGUAGAAGUGCAGUUGAAACUGGCAGUCUUGAGUACAGUAGAGGUAGGCGGAAUGCGUGGUGUAGCGGUGAAAUGCUUAGAUAUCACGAAGAACUCCGAUUGCGAAGGCAGCUCACUGGACUGCAACUGACACUGAUGCACGAAAGUGUGGGUAUCAAACAGGAUUAGAUACCCGGGUAGUC